rnacentral:rRNA from 1 species
AACUAUAUGGUAUUUUAUAUAGCUAUUUCUGCUCCAUGGUUAAACUAAAUAGCCGCAGUACCCUGACUGUGCAAAGGUAGCAUAAUCAGUUGGCUUAUAAUUGAAGUCUUGUAUGAAGGAAUUUACGGGGAACUACUGUCUUUAUGAUAAUAACGCGAAUUUGGUGGGCAAGUGCAAAUACUUGUAAGUAUUAAAUAGACGAGAAGACCCUAGAAACUUUUAAGUAUUUUGCUGGGGCGGCAAAGUUGCAAUUAACCAACUUUAUUUAACAUGAAGUUUAGACGGUAGAGUAAGUUACUCUAGGGAUAACAGCAUAAUUAAAUUUAGUUUGUGACCUCGAUGUUGGAUUAGGUUCUAAAAGUUUUAGAAGGACUUAUUAGUUGCUCUGUUCGAGCAGUUUCACCUACAU